AUUGUCGCCAAUAGUGUUAUGUGUAAUGAGCAAUCUUUUUUGUUCCACUCCGAUGAUUCCGCCAUUGGUUGGGGUGUGACAAUUUUCUCAUCUUGAAUUUAAUCUGCCUGAAAAUCAAUUUUCUAGCCUGGAUUCCAACGAUCAGACUAAUUCCAAGGGCAUUCUGUAUCAAGACAGUGAUGACUUGCAAUAUAUACCUGGUGUGACCCCAAUAGAAAUAUGGGAUAGAGACUCAACAGGGUAGAUUCUAAAGUUUACAAGUUACAUAUCAUUUGUCAUGUGAUUAUCUACAUCCUAUGGUUGAGGAGGCUAUAAUUCAUUGAUGUCUACUUUUCUUUUGCGUACAAAGGCAUGCAUUUUCUGUACUUAAUCUUAGCAUUGCUAUAAAUAAAGUUUUGGUUUGUACAUAUACAAAUUUACUGCCGCA